GGUCUUCAUUCCUGAAGUCUGAGUCAGAAGAAGAUAACCCAAUUAUUACCAUCCUGUUCUCUUCCCUAGGGAGAAUCUCCUGGCCUUCUAGAAGUAGAACUUUCUUGAUCCUGAUGUGUCUUUAAAUAUUACAGCAUUUUUAAGUUAUUUAAAAAAUAUUUUCAAAGAUGUGGUUUAAGCUCAAAUAAAACAGUCUUUCAAGUAGUUAGAGGUGUACCAAGUAGGCUUGGUUGAGAAGCAGCUGCUUUUCCCAGUAAUUUCCUCAGCUGUGGUAUGAGCAGAGCUUGAUAGUCCUGAUGGAAAAAAGCAUAACAUAGCUAUUAUAUUUUAUAUAUAUAUAUCUAUAUAUCUCAGCAUAUUAUAUAAUAAUAUGCUUUCCUUGGGUUUUGCCUAAUGAUGCUGCUGAUUUGUGCACCACGACAUUUUCUGAAGGGCAAAAUUUUCAGUACUAAACACAAAUAGAGCUGUGUUUUCUAGUAAAGACUCUGCCUCAUUUCCUGUUGCCUUACAUGUGGUUUGGUAUUUGUUACUAAAAAUAUAAACUUUUCAUCCAAGAAAAAAAAAAAACCAGGAUUUCUAGACAAAAUCACUGACAUUUAGUGCUGUAUGGCUGGGUUGGCAGAAGGCUUUUUUUCCCAAUCAGGAAUGUUAUUAUUCCUUACUGUUCCAGCUGUUGCCAUGGGUGAGCACUAGGAGACAGAGGGUCUUCAUUUUGAACUUCAUCCUGAAGACUAAACGGUUUCACUUUAGAAUACUGGAAAAGCAAACCAUGUAACUACAGAGUUUUCAUCAGGCAACUAAGUUGCACUGAAAUUGAGUUUUGUGCAAAUUAAUUUAUGAGAAUGACCCCAAACAACAUGGGAACACUGAACAAGUGUCAGGAACUGAAAAGUUGCUCAGCAAAAUAUUUAAAUCAAGCCCACUGAGUUUUCCUAAGUAAAAAAAAAAAAAAAAAAAAACAAAAAACCAAAAAAACCCACAAACGAACAAUGAGGCUCUAUUUCAUUCCUAAUUGUAUUUAGUUGGGGACUCAGUGUUUUUUUAUAAAAAGAAUGAAAAGAAAUUUUGUAUACUGUUAGUUCAAAGUUCUGUUUUAAAGUAGGGCUGCAGCAGAGAUGUGUAGUCUUACAAGAUUUCUAACAGUGUCACCUCAAAGCUGAUUGUGGAAUAUAGCUCUGAGGAAUUCUCAAGAAUUACUCAAUCCAGUGAUACUAUGACAAGGUUUUUGUUGGUUUUCUUUUCUUUCCGGAAAAUCCCCAAGCCUGUUUCCCAAAGCACCAUUUAUUCUGUCUUUUGGACUACACUGCACAAGUCCAUGAGGUUGAAUUCCUAUUUGGUAUCACUUCAAAUACUUUCUUGCAGGUGGUAGAUGCUUUUCAGCUUCAUGGUAAUCUGUGUUACUGAAAUUCCUUGUUUUGCUUUAAUUUCCCUGAUUUUUUUUUCCAUCCCACCUAUAACCUUCUCUUCUUUCAAACGUGCAGGUUUUUCCAUAUGGGGGACACUCCAGAACACUAAGUCAGUGAAAGCUCUAUAAAGUCAAUAUCUGUGAAUUAAAGUGUGUUAAAUCCCUGUGUAUAUGUUCUCAUUUUGAAGUAGGGUGGCCUUCAGUUCUGGUUGCAUAAUCUUCCAUUUGGGUAUUCAUCAGGUUGGCAUUUCAAGGUUGUUGGGGAAUUUUAAAGUGCUGAGCAGGUUUCAGACCAAGCCCUGAUGAACAUGUAAAGGGAUUCACCCCUCUGCACUCUCAGGGUGGCACUUAGGACUUACUGUGCCACGUUUUUCGGCUUCCUGAACUCAAAGCUCAGCACCUGCACAGCAGAGGCCACAUUUCCCAAGUCCUGUUUUCCCAGUGCAGUUGUUUUCAGCACUCUCUGAUUUAUUGCCACUUGUAUGAUGAAUUUAAGUUUCCUGACAACAAUGUGCUUUCUGCUUGGGAUGUUGUGGCUGCCAGGAUGCUUUACUAGUGUAGCAGAGCUUGACUCUAGGAUCAUGAUGUAAACGAUGCCCAUAGAAGUAGGUUUAUUUUACAGCGCCCAUCGGAGGGUAUGCUUGUUUCUCAGAAAAUAAUCUUCCUUUCUCUUUUUCUUCCUCAUUUCUUUCUGCCUGGAUCUGGAGGAUGAGAGCCCCUCUUAGCAUUCAUGCAAGCCAUGUCAGGAAAGCACACACAGCAGGUUUCUCAUGGAGACAUGCAGCUCUCACAUGCUCACUGUCACACUGCUCUGUCACAGUGCAUGUUUGUCCCCCUGUGCUGUCCCCUACCUUGUGUGUCAGUCACCAGUCAGAGGACACGGCUGCAGAGACUUGCAUGGAAGCUUAGCAGAGAAAAUGCGGAACCGAAGCCAUUAAAUUACAGCUCUCCCAAUCCUGAAGAAAGAGCUCCUCCUGAAGGCAAAACCCGGGACCUGAGGCUCUUUAAGUUAAUUGAACUUUCCUUGUGUUCACAGUGCAUUUCAGAAGAGAUCACCUUGUUGUUAUACUUGCACUAUUUUGAGCCCUAAACCCAGAAAAAGGCAGCACAGAAUCCAAGGAGUGCAGUUGCAGAGAAGCAAACCCAAGUGCAAGCAAGCUCCACUUGCAGAUGUGGAGGAAGUCCAGCAUGCAGGCUGGGCAGUGGGACGUGCUGGGAAUGGCAGGAGGGUGAUCCCCUGCCAGAGAAUGAAUGGGCACACUGCUUGGCACUGCUUGGAGGGAGUAAUGGGAUUCAGUGUUCGGUGAUAGACUGAUGGUCACUGCUUAUCUUGUGUUAUAUUGGCAAGAACUCUGUCCAUACUACUUGUUUCUCAUCUAAACUGCUCAAUUUCUGUACAUAUUUCUUCAUUAUGUCAUUUUCACUCAUUUAUUUCCAUGUCAGACCUAAUCCCCAGCCUGCUGGUGUAGGCAGUGUUUCUUUCUAACUUCCGUUGUGUCACCAUAAUGCCACACUUGUGUGUCCCUGCCAGAGUCCUCGUGUCUUCUUGUCUUUGUUUAAAUGUGGGCUUAACUGGAUCACAAAAAUUGGGCAUUACUGGCACGAACACUUCAGAAAAUUUGAUUUGGAGGGGAGGCCAAAAUUUGCUCUUACAUACAUCCCAUGAAGACUUGUAGACACUCAAACGGGGGAUCUAGAAUAUCUGUUGGUGAAAAAUGUUCAUCUUUUCCAUUAAAUGUGCUGCCAAGUUCAGUGAUGUCAUUACUGCUACUCCACAGAGCAUUUAGAAAAAACGAAACCUUGCCCAUGAUUUAAGGGUGGAACUGAACCUGCAGAAGGACUAGCAAAUCACAGGGAGUUUCCCUAAGAAACAAGGCCUACAAAACACAAACCUCUUACUUACAGAGGCUUACUGAAAAACAUGUAUAAAAAAGAUUAAUAUUGGAGUUUUAAUUUUUUUUUAUUAUCUUAAAAGUGUAAACAUCUUUUCUGGUGAUUGAAACUAAGUUUAUUUCAAAUUCAAAUCCUAUACUCAGUGACAGGAAAUUCAGCCCCUCUGACAGUUGUAUGCAAAAUAUAAAUGGGACACACAUACAUGCCCAGCAGGAUUGUCAGUUUUAAGUGUGGGAUCGGUUUAGUUUAUGACUUUCCCAGCAUUUUCUAGGUUUAUAUGUGCAAACAUUUGUGCACACAUGCAUAUCAAUAUGGAUACAAUCUUAAGAACUUAACUCCUUUGGUGAUAUCUUCUUUCCCCUCUGUUCAGUGAGAGCAUAAACCAUGUUACUAAUUUGCUUUGGGGUUAAUAACUGCAGAAUAUCUCUGAAAGAAUCAGUUACUUGAAACCUCUUUUAAAAUAAUUUUGAGCAAGGGAUUUUUUUCUCUUGAAAAGAUUACAAAAAGUUGUUCUCUCUCAUGCUUUCCAUGUGAGUAUCUAUUACAGAGAACCAUUUGCUUUUCCUUUGAGAUGACUUUUCAGUGGGAUUCAUCCAUGCAGUGAGCCAAUCUCUACCCCAUGAUCACAAGACUUGGGCUUUUCUCCUUUUUGAACAAUUUCUUACACUCAAAAACAGGGAAAUAAAAACAUGUCUAUGGAGGAUGUUUUGUAAUUUGUUGCACCUCUAGAAGUAUCUCAGAAAAUACAUACUCUAGAGAUGGUUUGUUUCUGAGAGCUCCUAGUAGCCACUGAGCUGAUUUGGUACUUGCCAACACUGUCUUCAUCCAACUCAUGGCAGUCUGAAAGAUCCAGUGUUUGGGAGCAGCUGUAGAAUUGUAGAAUAUGUUGAGAGUAUAUCUGCCUGUAAAGAAAAAUAAUUUUUUCUGACUUGUUUACUUAAACUUCAAGAAGUAGAAAAUGUGCUACAUUAAUGUUUCUGUCCCUAGAAAAUGAAAAAGCAGAUUAGUUAUUUUUAUUUUUUUUAUUCCCACAGUAAACAUUUUCUGAUUAAUCUCUUUGCCUUUCUUAAAUAAACCGAUGUUAUACAGUAGAAUUUAAAUAUGUUAUGGUCUGUAUUGUCUUUACAUUAUAUGGGGUUUUAAAGAAUGGAAUAUAUCAAAUUUGACAAAAAAUGACCUAAUCAUGAGAACUAAUAUUUAAUCAGACAUGUUUUUUCACCACAGCUGUAACAUGUCGGGCUUGCUUGCACACAAGACUGUCUUGGCCUGUUUUGAGUAGACAGGCAUCUCCCUUUUUGUUCAGACUUUAGAGGUUUUAGAUAAAGCUGCAAGAAUGUGCUUUUGCAAAUUAAAUUUUUUUAAAGAAACUCUUUGGAAUUCUGGAGUAAAUGUAUUUAUUUACCACUAUGUGCAACGACUGAUUUUAGUGUUUGUGACUACAGAACACUGUGCAGAAAUAUUAAACUUACUUUGUUUGAAACAAUAAUGUCUUUCCCUACCCAAGGUCA
rnacentral:lncRNA from 1 species